UACAACUUUCGACAACGGAUCUCUUGGCUCUCGCAUCGAUGAAGAACGCAGCGAAAUGCGAUAAGUAAUGUGAAUUGCAGAAUUCAGUGAAUCAUCGAAUCUUUGAACGCACCUUGCGCCCUUUGGUAUUCCGAGGGGCAUGCCUGUUUGAGUGUC
rnacentral:rRNA from 1 species